AGAAAGAGGUCCAGUUUAUAGACACUCUAGGAACACAUAGCCUAGUGCAUAACUAUCUGUAAAGAUAGGAAGGGCAAUGAAGCAAAUGCAAGUGAAUGUAGUUUUAAUGAGUAGAUAAACAAAUUAACAGAAGAUAACCAGCAGGAACAGGAUGGAGAGAGAUGAAGUCACACGUGGCCAGGAAGUAACGGUGAGAUGAGACCGCAGGAGAGCGUGAUGCAGGAACUGAGAUGAGUGAUCCGGUGGAGAGCAGAAUUUACUGGAGCAUCGAUGUCCUGAUGUUGGAGGACGCCCUGCUCCAGCUGAUCCUCAGCAGCAGGGAGGACUUCAGAGACUGGAGCUUCUCCAUGAUCAUGAAUCUCUACAAUUUGCUGUAGAGAAGACUGGUCUACAGAGGGGAAUACCAAUACAGAAUUUACUGGAGCAUCGACGUCCUGAUGUUGGAGGACGUCCUGCUCCAGCUGAUCCUCAGCGAUGAGGACUUCAGAGACUGGAGCUUCAUGAAGAUCACAGAUGUCUAUAAUGUGCUGUAGAGAUGACUGAUCUAAAGAAGGGAAUACCAGUAAUAUUUAUAGAAUAUUGUAUAAUCAGAUUACAGCAGUUUUUCAAGGGGUCUUUUGAAAGAAAUAAACAUCUCCAAACAAUGUAAAUUGAUUGGUUUCUAAAUAAAAGUGUGUACUGA